UACGUAGGUGGCAAGCGUUGUCCGGAUUUAUUGGGCGUAAAGAGCUCGUAGGCGGUCUGUCGCGUCUGCUGUGAAAACUCGGGGCUUAACCCCGGGCCUGCAGUGGGUACGGGCAGACUAGAGUGCGGUAGGGGAGACUGGAAUUCCUGGUGUAGCGGUGAAAUGCGCAGAUAUCAGGAGGAACACCGGUGGCGAAGGCGGGUCUCUGGGCCGUAACUGACGCUGAGGAGCGAAAGCGUGGGGAGCGAACAGG
rnacentral:rRNA from 1 species